CCCGUGGUCGCCCUCGAAGCCCGGCCCCAGCGCCGGGCUUCGUCGUUUCUGCCCGCCGCGCAACCGGACGCAGCGGGCGGCGACCGGUGCGAAAGGCUCUGGGGUGCGCCCGCACGGCGUCCGGCCAACUUAAAGUUCGGUUGUGCCGGGUGCUGUCAUAACGCCAUCGUUCAGUGGCCUCGGUGAGCCCCCGCACCCCCAGUUCGCUGGGGCUUGCCUUUGGUGUAUCCCUUUUGCCCGGCCGCGUGCCG
rnacentral:sRNA from 1 species